ACCAUAAAACAGCAACAGCGACCCACUGCAGAUUCUCCUCCAAACAGGAAUAUGGCAAAGGCGUGGUUCUGAUCCAGGAAGGGGAAGGAUCCCCAAGGGGGAAAAAUAAGACAAGAGAAUCUAUGAAAGUAACAAGGAAUUUCAUCCUUCAGUGGAUUUCAGAAUGGAUAUUUUAGACUCAGCCAUCCGUAAACAUUGGUUGUGAAGGCUGAAGAUCAAAUUGCCAAGUGGAAUCCCAUCCAUCACGGGGACCAACACCAGCCAUCUGCUCCCCACCACCACCUUCAAAGAGCACAUGGAAGCUGGGCAGCUGGCUGGCAGCUGGAAGGAGGGCAAGAUGGCCUGGCCAG
rnacentral:lncRNA from 1 species